CAUUGCCGCCUCAGGAGGAAAACCAAAGAACAAAACACACCUUUGUUGGGGGUUCUCAUGGCAGUGCAUUUCAGAGGGCAAAGAGGAAAAGGGAAGGAUCAAGGGCUGCACAGCUGUGUGAGCCUCUCCAAAGUCCCACAGAAUUCUUUUGCUCACAUUAAUUUGGCCUGGACUUCACAUGGUCAUUCUUAGCUGCAAGAGGUGAGGAGCUAGAGCCUUUUAGCUUGGUGAAUGCCUACCCUGAGUGAAACAGAAUCUCUGAGGUUAAGAAUUGAGAAGAAUAUAAAUCAUGUGCCCAGGCCGGGGCUCUUUCCAUGCACCAAACUCCAAAUACGGGAGGCGAUGGAGCUAUUUUCAGAUGCAUUGGCCAUUCAUACCACAUUCUACCACAGCCUCUCAUUUCUUGGUUUUGUUUCCAGAGACAAAGUCUUAGUUUCAAACCCAGAUAUGUGAGUAGGAAACAUGCUUUCACACAGAAACCAUAGGGACAAGGAUGGGAAGUAUGGAAUAGGACCUUCAAGGGUAUGUAGUGAUGGAUGAUUCAUAAGGUGUGCCUAGAAUUGAGAUUGAUGGGUAGCCUACCAAGAACAAAGAUCUAGACACAGUGGUUGCUCUAGUGAGAAGUCACAGUCUGUUACCUAACUCUGAGCACACUGAGCCAGUAUUAGACUCUGAGCCCCCAGCUGUAGGGAGAGACUGGAGCUCUCUGGGUAAUGACCCUGCACUCAGCUCAGAUGUGUACCAUGCAUCUUCUCCCCACCUGUUGGGGAACAUGAUUAAAAAGAUAUGAUGACCGAUUGACAUGUGAGCUGGACCCAGCCCCUUGGGGGCUUGUACCCCCCACCCCUGUCCUUGGAAUGUGGGUUCUGCUUGCCUUUCCACUCCUGGGUCUGCUCCAAGGAUAUUGGUUUGUGAUGUGUUUGGAUGGUGAUGUGCUGAACCCAGUUAGGGCCUUUUUAUAAACUUAAGAUUUGGAGUGGAUUUGGGAGUGGAGAUCCAUUCGUUGUGAUGCUGCCCAAGACGAGCUUCAUCUGUCAGUUCGCUUUGCUAUUAUUGAAAUUGCCACCUACCAACAUGAAGUAGCCUGCUUUUUUCUUCCAUCUCUCCCUCCCCUCUGUGUUUGGAGGCUGGUUUCAGAUUAUAUCAGGAAAGUUCCCGAGAGGGUUGUGAACCUACACCAGCCAUCCUCAAAUGUCCCCAAAGCUGCAGACACUUACCAGUGUGACCAUACUCUGGAGAAAGGGAAAUACUGCAUUUUUUUUCAGGACUUAUGUGUAUUAGUUUUGAACAUAUGUUGAUUCCCAAAGAUCAGACACACUGUGUGGCCCAUCAGUUGAAAUAGGGGCUUAGGAGAUCUAGGAUAGGAGUCUUGACCCCACAUGGACUCAUCCUAUGCUGUUUCCCCAUCUGGAAAUAUAUAAUGGGACUAGGUAUAUUAGCAACUGGUGGAAUUCCCACCUUGGUCUCCUGAACAUAGGAGUUAUUAGGGAAGAAAGGGCCAAGCAAACCAUGAGGUCCUUGGGAACACCCUCCUUCAGAGUAGGCCACAGACCAGUCCUCAUCCAUGGAGGGGACAGGAAAGAUUAGUGACAUCCCCAGGCCCUGGAAAGAUGCAGGGCUGGACUUCUUACCAUGUUCAUCUUACUUGCCAGUUUGGCUACUGUGCAAGUCAGAUGGAUCAUGGAGACUGUUGGUGGGUGUUUGCAGAUUUCAUCAGAUGCAGUGUUUCUGCAUAUGGUUGGUUUCUCUACUAGACAACUCUACCAGUUAUCCCCGUCUCUCAGGGAACCAAGCCUGAGCAGUCCACUGCUGGAGGAAGGGCAGGAGCUGGGCACAAGACCCCUCCCCCUGCGAAGCUGCCUGCUGAGAAUGGCAAAGUGACACAGGAAAACCCCCAGUCUCUCCAGUCCCCACAGGAAUCAGCCAGCACCUCACUAGGAGAAUCUGACACCAGCAUACCUGUUGACUAGCUAGUCUCAGCUCCCCACAUCAUGGCCUGGGGGAAGAGAUGCUCCUAUCUCUGGACUCAAAUCCCUUACCUCUGUUGUGUUGUUCUUUUCUGUAAUCUUAUGUCAAUAAAUUCUGAAAUAAAAACAAAAUGGACAAAUUUCUUAGAGGAAAAACAAAUCUGAUUGCUUUACUGUUUAGUGAAUUUUUCAUACUCAAUGAAAUGCUCACAAAAUGUCAAUCUCUUUUCUCUUUCCCGUCAAAGCAAGAUUAAGUAACUUUAUUUUCAAAAUGCAUGUGCUCAUUUUUAGAGUACCAUUGACAUUCUCUACCAACCACCCGAGAACCCCACACCUGCCCCUCGUUCCAGCAUAUUUCCAGGUUUCCCAGAGAUGAGGCUACUGCUUUCCUUGGCAUCUGAUGUGGCCAGAUGACAGAGGUCAAGCUUGAGGAAUGUGACAAGAAUGGCAGGUGUCUCCUCUGGGCUGCAGCUCUUCUGCUGGGUGAAUUCUGGCAACUUGGAGAAAGUCUUGUCUCUGCAUUGCAUCGAGGAAGAAAACUGCCUGUUGGUCAGAAAUAUCUGUCAUGUGAACGGGCAACAAAUUACCAUCUUGUCAUCCAGCAUUAAUGUGAGUGAUAUAGAUGUGAGGGUGGAUGACAAAGCAUUACUCAUGUCAGAUGACAUGUAAAAAUGGUUUUGCUAAAUAAAUAUUUUUAAAAAUCA